UUUGAAUAAAAUAAAAAUAUUCAAUAAAAUAUUCUAAUUUCUUGUAAAACAAUAUUUAUAGAGUCAUCGGUAAUUAAUUUUUUUUGUAAUGUAAAAGCUAAAAAAAUUCAUACGUACUACAAUACAGAUAACCGGGAUAUGAAAUUUACUUUACAGUGACUCGUGGGCCCACAAGGAACAAAAGUGCACAAAGGUAGUAAACCUACAGUUUUUGGAGUAGUAAAGCCGACUAUAGCCUUCGACGAUAUUACCUAUCUACACACUAUCCUGAGCCUGAAAUGGGUGGAAAUGAGGGUGGUGAGAUUAUAUAAUCCCAGUGAGUAAACAAAUACCAUCUAAAAUAUCUAAAGCCGAGUAAAUAGAUACAAUUAAAAUAAAUCAUCAUACUAUAAUUUCAUUACCUUUCAACUUAUUUCAACCAAAUAAACAACUAGGCUUAUGAUUUCCUGAAA
rnacentral:lncRNA from 1 species